rnacentral:sRNA from 1 species
UCUAAACUGUAGAUAGAUAGAGAGCAAUACAUUUACUGGUCAGGUGGAUAACACAUCCGUUUAAAAUAACAGUAAUAGGUUCACCUCUGGGGCCUGGGAACUUCCCAAUCAUGGAUCUUUGCCCAGACUUACAGCACCACAAAUGUGUUUCCUCGUGGGGAGUGGACCUUAAAUCCAAUCAGAAAACUGUCAGAACCUUCUGCCCCUAUAAUACCUGUGCCAUUACAAAGCCACGGGCAGUAUCUUGGGCUUACAGCUAGAUAAGACUGUUGAUGAGGUCCCCUGUCUCCUAUCCCUACAUAGUACCAUCCAAUACUAUGAAAGCUACUACCAAUGAGGAAGCCCCUCAGUUAAUACCAACUCCAUUACUCUGUGUCCUGUGACAAAUGUGUGUGGUGUUUUCAUCUUAAGCUGGUUUUAGGUCUUACCCUAAAACUCUGAUGGAUAGCCAAGAGCCAAGGACAGCAACCUGUCUGAGUGAAAAAAGAAAUAAAAGGAAGAACAUGGCUCUCCCAAGGUGCGGUGGGGAAGAACGCUCAUUGUGGAUAAAAGGGAGAGCAUAGAGAGAGGCAGAGGCAUCUGGGAGAGGCCAGAGUGGUUUUAUCUACACUGAGCUGGGCCUUGUGGGGAGACAGGGGGAGGGAGAGCAAGAGAGGAGCCGCUGACCAAGAGCGGCGGCCUGGGCCAAGAGAUUGGUCAAGAGAACAAAGGGUAGACCAAAAGGAACAGGUAACCAAAAUGGCUGGAUUAUACAGGGGACAGAGGAGCCAGGGGAGGGGAGCCCAGGCCUUGGGCUGGAGAAUUUUAGGGUAGGGCCCAGAGUGUGACAACUGUACUCUGUAACAGGUAGGGACUGAGGGAUGCUGGGAGAGCCUGGUGUCAGUGUCUGCUUUGCUGUUAAUGGGUACCUCAGUUAACAGUUUGUUCUGGAUUUGAGACCUGACAGUAUCUUCUUUGGGGAUCUGUGUCUUCAAGAUAACUUUGACUAAUAACUCAGGGGUGUCAUCCAACCCCUGGUAAUAGGCUUUUUAUUUUUUUUCUGGGAGAGGCAUAAUCCUCUGUGAGGGGUAGUUCCAACUGUGUUCUAUUACAUUAAUAUGCACAUUCAUAUAAACAUCUACACUGCAUUUAUAUUAAUAUGUUUACAUAUUAAUAUUUUAAUAUUCAGACAUUGUGAGUAUCAGUCAUUCCAUGCUCACACAUUUUAGUUAGGACUGGACUUGGGGGCCAUUCCAAGCGACCAUUUGUUAAGUAAUCUGAUUCUCGAUGUCUGCCCUUGGUCCUUCCCCCGCCAUGAACAGGAGGGCAACAUUGCAUCAUGGUUCUCCCUGGCACGGACAGCACACCAAGUGUUCCCUAUAUUUAGCCAACAUGAAGUCAUUGCAGCCCGACGCCUGCCCCGUGCAAUCUCUGCUUUGUUUCGCAGCUCACGUGACUGAUGCCCUGACUUUGUACGUGACCUAUGUCCUUACACGGAUUGAAAGGGGCUGAAAAUCUCGCUAGGAAAGCUGUGCUUGAUACAAAGAGAAGGCUUGCCAUCGGGUCUGGAUACUGACACGAUCUGAAUAGAAACCAAGAGGAAAUCCAUGAAUUUUAAUGGCCUUAGUGGUCACUCAGGUCAAGGGCUUUCCAAACCAUUCCCUACACACACCCAAAGACCCAGGAGCAGCCAUCGUGGGCAUCCUCGCCACAGGAGCAGCCAACCAUGCUCAUCUUUGCGUCUGUUUCAGUAUUUAUCAGCAGUACUGGCACAGGGGUGCUUGUUCUGAGGAUGAGCCCACGGUGACUUCCGGGAGGAGCUGGUGACUCAUGAGUUCAGCCUGGAUCAGCAGUAGCUGAGCUGUGACCUCCAGUUUAACCUUCCGUAAGGAGUGACACGCCCCCUUGCCAGGGACACAGAAUGAAUCCUGAGAUUUUGGCCUUGAAACUGGAAUUACAAUGAGUUCUUUGAUUUACCUGAUACGGGUGCUUAAAAUUGAACCCUGGUCCUCUGGGAGAGCAAUUAGACACACUUCACUUCUAGGCCACCUCUCCAGCCCCUGUUUGGAGUUUUUAAUUGGUAUCUCUCCUCCUGCCUGAAUUCUCCAUCAGACACUGCUUCAGGAGAAUUAUGCAUGGCCACACUUGACCGGCUUUCGAAGGGCCUCCUCAGUAGAAGAUUGUGUAUUUCGCUUGCCCACACACACACUGGAUGAUCUGAGGCUAGGAGUGUCUUCUGUUUUAGCCUGGGCUGACCUGGGCCUUGAGCACCAAACCCUCAGAGAUGGGACAAACUUUCUUUCUGGUUCCUUUGCAAGAAUGGAACCCCUUGGAAUCGGCCUGCGUAUGACCGUGAGCUUGGAGUCCUGCCCGUGUCAGGUCACCGCAGACCUUCAUGCUCACCGGCAGGGAAAGCAUAGAUGCUUCUUGUCGUCAGCCACUGAGACUUUGAGGUGGUUGGUAACACUCCAAGCAAACAGACUAAUCCGAAAGUAAGGCCCGUCUUGUUUUUGUUUUUAUUAAGUUAACAUUCACUCUUCAUCUUCGUUUUGUGGAUGGUCUUCUUGAGGGAAAUAGUAAUGUGUCUCUGACCUUUUCCCAUCCUCAGCACGUUUCUGGGGCAUCUCCCAGCAUGCCAGUUGCGUAAUGCAAAAAGCUGGGCAGCCUCUUUCUCACAUCUGCCUGACAGGAAAAUAAAUUAGAACCACGAUACUCCCUCCCCUGCCAAAGUCCCAGGGAAGCCCUGAGGCUGCACAGAAAAUUGGGUGGCCUUUGUCACGAGCCAAGCCAGACCACUAGCUCCAUGUAGAAUCUGAGAAUUUUAAAGAUUUUUUUUUUAAUCAAGAUUGCCCCUCAGUGAAGACCCUGUUCCCACACAAUUGAGCUCAAACGUUUUUUUUUAAACUAGCAAACAAUUCAUGCGACAUUGUCCACACUGCCCUCCAGGUGGCAGUAGAGAACCGCUGCCUGCCCAGCACACUGACGUCACCUUGUUUACCCGGUUUCGGGUCAUUUUUAGAUCUAAGAUCACAGGAUGUUAAUCAGGCCAAUGAUUUCCCAUUCGUUUGGCCAAAGGCCCUUGUCAUGGGCAUUGGGACAAGUAUGAUGUCCUUUUAGAUAAAGACAUUUUUGCUGCGGGAAGUACUUAUUUGAAAACAUUUGUAAUUUCAUCUUUAGGAGAUGGGAAAAUUGUGCAUGGAUCUGUACUGUGGCCAUUUGGGGUCACUUUCAUUUUGGAGCUGGAAUGUGAGUGGCCUUAACUGAAGAGAGGCAGAAAACUACAUAUUACAAUAGCGUGCCUUCUCAGAGACGCAGGCGUCUUUCUGCUUCAGUCUUCCCCUUUAUUUAUAUAGGAUUCAGCAAGAAAGCAUUUAGGUUUUGAAGUUUGGAGGGAAAGGAGUAAGAGCUAAUUUAGUCUAGCUGUCUCCUGAUUCCUGAUUCUCCUGAUGCCACCCUGGAGUUUAGGUGUCAGGAGGUCCCUGCAGGCCGCACCCAGGAGCCUCAGACUGUCCGUUUCCAACAAUGUGGCUGAGAGUUUCUCUGUGACUGUUAAAGAAGCAAAAUAAACAAAAUUCCUCAGA